AUAUUAACCGGGAUUGUCAAACUUGAUCUUCCACAGACUUCAUUUCCAGCAGCUUGUUGUUACUUCUGGAUUAAGUCCAUUCAUCAAAGACUUUUUCUGAUCGACAGACACAAGCGAUUCCGGUUUUGCAGUUUCAACAGUCGGCAACAACACUCCUGGACUUUUUAUCCGAACCAUAAACAGUUGCAGCUGAUGCAGGCUCGUUCAAAUUAAGUCAAAAAUAACACCAGUGACCUUCAUUGUUAGCCUCCGCAGAUCAUUAAUGUCUUCACAAAAUCAAAAAUAUUCAUAUUUUCU
rnacentral:lncRNA from 1 species